ACUCCUACGGGAGGCAGCAGUGGGAAUAUUGGACAAUGGGGGAAACCCGUAGCAUCCAGCCAUGCCGCGUGUGUGAAGAAGGCCUUCGGGUUGUAAAGCACUUUCAGUGGGGAGGAAAGGUUGUUGGUUAAUACCUAGCAGCUGUGACGUUACCCACAGAAGAAGCACCGGCUAACUCCGUGCCAGCAGCCGCGGUAAUACGGAGGGUGCAAGCGUUAAUCGGAAUUACUGGGCGUAAAGCGUGCGCAGGCGGUCUGUUAAGCGAGAUGUGAAAGCCCGCAGCUAUACUUGGGAAUUGCAUUCGAUACUGGAUGGCUAGAGUAUGGGAGAGGAUGGUAGAAUUCCAGGUGUAGCGGUGAAAUGCGUAGAGAUCUGGAGGAAUACCGAUGGCGAAGGCAGCCAUCUGGCCUAAUACUGACGCUGAGGUACGAAAGCAUGGGGAGCAAACAGGAUUAGAUACCCUGGUAGGCUCUGCU
rnacentral:rRNA from 1 species